GGCGGAAUGGCCGAGCGGUCUAAGGCGCUAGAAUCAGGUUAAAGAUGGAAUUGAAAACUAUCUAGUCCGAAAGGGCGUGGGUUCGAAUCCCACUUCCGUCA
rnacentral:tRNA from 1 species